rnacentral:rRNA from 1 species
UACGGGGGGAGCAAGCGUUGUUCGGAUUUACUGGGCGUAAAGGGCGCGUAGGCGGUCAGCACAAGUCAGUUGUGAAAUCUCCGGGCUUAACCCGGAAAGGUCAACUGAUACUGUGCGACUAGAGUGCGGAAGGGGCAACUGGAAUUCUUGGUGUAGCGGUGAAAUGCGUAGAUAUCAAGAGGAACACCCGCGGCGAAGGCGGGUUGCUGGGCCGAUACUGACGCUGAGGAGCGAAAGCGUGGGGAGCAAACAGG